GAGAUGGAAUACGAACAUAUAAGAGAAAGGAGAGAGGGCCAUGCCCGUGGUCAAUAAUUUAUCUCUGAGAUUCAUUCAGCCUCUCACCCAAUAUUUCCCUCCUGUCUAUUGAUUCCUCAUCAUUAUUUGUCAUAAGCUGUCCUAACUCAAGGAGAAAAUAUGCCCUCCAUGUCCAAGGGGAGUCAUACCUGAAGAAAUAGAAAGGAAUUUCAUUAAAAGCAAGAAAGGACUGCCUUGGCUUUGAGAAACUCCAGCAGAAACUUACACAGACUUUUGUUAUGUGUAGGUUUUUGUGUGUGUGUGUGUGUGUAUUUUUUUUUUAAAGGAGCGUUUGAAGCCCAUUAGACAGCGCCAUGACAGAAAAUGCCUAAACUUUGAAGAAAGUUGCUUUGAUUACAUUUUGUUGCCAAGGAGCUGUGUUUGGCCCUGAAUGAAAAUAGGCCUAUUAGAAAAAAAAAAAAAGAAAAAAAAAGAAAAAAAAAAGAGUAAAAAGACAACUUUGUAAGUUAUUUCCAGCACCACUGUCUUAAGGCACGCUGCAUCUGGAGGUGGAAGUCUCCUUCAGGAGGUCACAAGGAUUUGGCACGAGCAGCCUGGACAUCAAAACAAAGUACAACCGAUGGAAAGAAUCUGAAAGGACUUCAGCAGAUGGGAAGCUGAACAAACUUUGGGAGGAAAAAGCAAAUACAUUGAGGAUGGGGAAGAUGUCAUGCAUCUGAGAUGGCAAAGAACAUUAAUCUAUUUUAUGAAGCAUUGUUGAGACUUCAUCUGUAUUGGAUAUGAAAGCAUCAGAGAGACUACAUACUUCUCUGUGAGGGUGCAGGAAGGAGGAUGCUUGCUUUGUUCAUUCAUCUUUGAUACAUACCAUCACAUAAGAAGUGCCUCUUCAGGACAAAAGGCACCAUUUCAUUGCCUGGUUCAUCUCUGGUUCAUGCCUCCUGAAAGUGUUUGGUGUGUCUCUCUCCUUGCUUUCUGCAGGAACCUAGCUUUGUAAAUCAACUGCUUGGGAUAAGAAAAU
rnacentral:lncRNA from 1 species